AUCUCUCAUUAAGAUCACUGUAAAUUACACAGAAUAGUAAGUGAAAUAGCACUGAAAUAAAAACACUAAAAAAGAGGAUACAGUCAUUGUUGACUAUUGAGAACAACAUACGCUGUAGAAGUCACUAUAGGAAUAUUUAUAUUUUAUUUACUUUUAUGUAAGGCAGUAAGACUAAACAUGCUACUACACCUUAAAGCUUUCCACAAACAAAACCAAAUGACACAUCAUAGUGUGGCCUAAAAGUGAAUCAGUUUCCAAAUCAUAUUGAUUUUAUUUCAAAUUAUUCCUCCAAACUGUCACAAAUAAAAACAAUAUUGUAGUUCAGCUUGCCUGGGCUAAAGAGCUGUUUGUGUGUACUGGUGUAUGUGAGGUGGAGAGAGAGAGAAUGGUAGAGAGACAGCCAGCUCUGCAGUGGGGGGUCUGCUGGUAAAGAUAAACAGCCGAGGAGCCUCUGAGCCAGAGGAACAUGGCGGCUCCGGUCCUGGACGCCGCUGACGCUCCGUCCCGCUGACCGACAACACCGAGGGACACAUCCCGCACAGCACGCACCCAUGGCUUCUCAACUCUCAGGUGCUGAUAUUUGCUGAAGAUGAGUAGUGGGGGUGGAAACACCCCAGAGCCCCCCAGAGGGGGAGAAUCUCUGAAGAGGAAGGACUGUCAGUCAGACCUCCUGGGGCCCAGUCCUAAGAGGAGUACUGAGAGGAGGAACCGGGAGCAGGAGAACAAGUACAUAGAGGAGCUGGCCGAGCUGAUCUUCGCCAACAUCAACGACAUGGACGACCUCAACGUCAAGCCGGACAAAUGUGCCAUCCUCAAAGAGACGGUGAAGCAGAUCAGACAGAUCAAGGAGCAGGAAAAAGCUCCAGUGGCUGAUGCAGAGGAAGUGCAGAAGGCCGACGUCUCCUCCACAGGACAGGGUGUUAUUGAUAAAGACGCCCUUGGGCCCAUGAUGCUGGAGGCCCUGGACGGCUUCUUUUUUGUGGUCAACAUGGAGGGCAACAUAGUGUUUGUCUCGGAGAACGUCAGCCAGUAUCUACUUUACCAGCAGGAGGAGCUGAUGAGCACCAGUGUAUACAGCGUGCUGCAUGUUGGAGAUCACGCCGAAUUCGUCAAGAACCUCCUGCCCAAGAGCGUGGUCAAUCAUCGCAGCAGUGAUUCGUCCAACAGGAACAGCCACACCUUCAACUGUCGUAUGUUGGUCAACCCUUAUGCCGACGGUGAAGCCCGGCUGGCGUCUGACCAGCAGGACCUAUCACAGCAGAAGUACGAGACCAUGCAGUGUUUUGCUGUCUCCGAACCCAAGUCUAUCAAGGAAGAGGGGGAAGAUUUCCAGUCAUGUCUCAUCUGUGUGGCAAGAAGAGUCCCCGUCAAAGAGAGACCUGUGAUGCCCACGUACGAGAGCUUCACCACUCGACAGGACCUUCAAGGUAAGAUCACGUCCCUGGACACCAGUCUGCUGCGUGCAUCCAUGAAGCCGGGCUGGGAGGACCUGGUUCGACGUUGCAUUCAGAGGUUUCACCUGCAGAAUGACGGGGAGAUAUCCUUCGCCAAGAAACACCAGCAAGACGUGUUGAGGAACGGCAAUGCGCUCAGCCCUCUGUACAGAUUCUCCCUGGCAGACGGCACCAUCGUCUCAGCUCACACCAAGAGCAAGCUCGUCCGAUCCACAGCCACCAACGAACCACAGCUCUACAUGUCCCUGCACAUCCUGCACAGGGAGAACAUGGCUGGCAUGACCACAGACAUACCUGGCAGCCAGGGCAUGGCCAAGCCAAUGACCCCAACCAAUGUGGGUGGUCCCUCCCCUUCGCCUGAUGCCAGUGUCACCAGCAACACCCACCACUCCACAUCUGCCUCCGGUGCCCCUGGACGUGGUUUUGGGGCUGUAUCCGGUCGGGCGCCCACACCUCAGGGAAACAGCCAUGCACUCAAGCUGGGCAGCCCUUCAGCCCAGGGAAGCCUCAGCGUCACCUCAGGGGCCCAGGGUGCCAUGUUGUCUCCUCGUCAUCGCCAGAGCCCAAGUAUGGCAGCUAGCAGCAGCAGCUGUAGUAGCCCUCACCUCCCCCAACAUCCCCCUGGUUCUUUCUCUCCUGCAGCUGGCCUCCACUCGCCAGCAUCCGUAUGCAGCAGUAUGGGAAAUGGCCAAGGGUUCAACUCCCUUAGUGCGUUGCAGGCCCUCAGCCAGGGCCACAGGGUUUCCCAGGGACUCACCGAGGGGCAGCAUCCAGAGUCACCUGACAGAAAGCCGAUUGGCCUUCAGAGUCCUCUUCACAGCAGCAGCAACGGUAACCAACAAGCCAAGAACAAUCUCAGCUUAGAGACUGACUUAUUUGGAACUUUUGGGGAGCAGCAAGACUUGUUUUCAUCACAAAACCAGGAGUGUGAGCAGGGAGAGACUAAAGACGGUGACUCUGAAAGCUUUAGAGGUGAUGGAAGCUUAGGGGAGCUCGGCGACGCCCCAAAUCGCCUUCUGAACACAAAGGGGCACACUAAGCUGCUCCAGCUUCUCACCACCAAAUUAGAACCUUCUGAUCCCUGCUCAUCACCGCCUCUGGGGGACGACCAGGACUGUAAGGACCAGCUGGGUGGGAUCGGGGGUGUGGGUGGGGCUGGGCACAACAACCACUCCACCUCGUUGAAGGAGAAACACAAAAUUCUCCACAGGUUGCUGCAAAACAGCACAUCACCCGUGGAGUUGGCCAAGCUAACGGCUGAGGCUACUGGGAAAGACCCAAUUGGUCCAGAAUCAGCUGCAGGGGACAACAUGGCCGCUCUAGGUGAACUCUGCACAAAACAGGAGCCAGGGAGCCCCAAAAAGAAGGACAAUGCUUUGCUUCGCUAUCUGUUGGAUAGGGAUGAUAACGGCAUCCUGGAUAAAGCCAUCAAGAUGGAACCUGGUGAUGGAUCAAAGCUGUCCAACAUUAAGACAGAGAAACAGGAAGCAGGUUUCAACAUGGCGGACCAGACCAGUGAGUUGGAGGACCUGCUGGAGGACCUGCAGAGUGGCGGCCAGCAGCAGCUAUACGUGGGCCAGCCCCCAGUCAGAAGACCAGCCUCCUCUUCGACCUCCUCUUCCUCUGUGCUGGCUGGUUCCUCUGUGGACAAACAGACCAUCAUCAGCAACAUCCUGCAGAUGACAGACAGCAGCAGCAGCCCCCCCAACCAGCACAGAGCCUUCCCUCCCGUCAGCCCUGCAACAGGCUUUAAUGGUGCCAGGCUGGGCCAACCAGGUCGAGGUGCUCCUCCAGUCAGAAGCACGUCUCUGGAAAGCAGUAUGGGCCCCAACCCCAACCCCAACGCUGGCAGGCCAUUUCCUCCUCAGCACAGGAACAAUGGCCCCUACUCCGUACUGCAGCAGCAACAGCAGCAAGGCAUGAUGGGAACCCACGCAGGCAUGGCCAAUCAGGCUGCAAUGGCCAAUCCAGGCAUGCUGAGUAACGGGUCAAUGCGGGGCUCCAUGCAGCAGGGCUGGGGUCCCCAGAGGCCGAUAGUGGAAACUGCGGGGAUGAUGAUGGACCAGGGGGUUGGACCUGGUUGCAUGGUCUCCAACAUGAACACUGUGCUGCCCACGAGAGGCCCACCUGGAUCCAGAACCAUGGUCAACAUACAGAUGAUGGGCAACGAGAUGCAGAUGGCAAACCCAACCUACCCUCAGCAACAAGCUCCGCCCAAUCAGACUGCACCGUGGCCAGACCGAAUGAUAACUAUGGAUCACUAUGGAAACCAAAGCAGGCCACCGUACGGUGUCCCCCAGGGGGACAGGAUGGGUUGUUGCAGCACUGGGCCCGAGGGUCAGCCAGAUGAAGGAGCCCUGCUAUUCCAGCUGUGCUCGGUGUUGAAGGACUAUGAGGGUCUGGAGGAGAUCGACAAGAUGUUGGGAAUCCCAACGCUGGCUGGACAGGGUCCUCUGUCAGACCAGGACCAGUACCUCAGCUCCUCGGACCCAGCGACCAGCAUGAAGCCGCACUUGUACAAUCAACACUACGGUGGCCAGCCAGGUUAUGGUGCCAUGCCUCCUGAUGGUGGGUUCCACAGCCCCUCUAUGGGCGGCCACAUGGGGCAACAGAGGAUGCCGCCUGCUGGUUACCCCCCAAUGAUGAGGAUGCCUGGGAGCGUGGGGCCCAGACCGGCCGGGAUGAGGCCAGGGGGGCCUAAUCCAGGAGUGCUAUCACAGCCCAACAACCUGAGGCUCCAGCUGCAGCACAGACUCCAGGUCCAGCCAAACCGUCAGCCAGUGGUGAACCAGAUGAGUGGGGUGUCCAACAUGAAUCUACCUCUAAGGUCUAAUGUACCAAACCAGGGAACCCUCAACGCUCAGAUGCUGGCCCAGCGUCAGCGCGAGUACCUCAGCAACCACCUACGCCAACGGCAACAGCAGCAGCAACAACACGUGCACCAGCAGCGUGCCAUGAUGAUGCGGACUCAGGGCAUCAACAUGCCGCCUAACAUGCCCAGCGGGGGCGCUGCUCCCACGCCGAUGCCCAUAGGUGGCACCAACCCACGGCUCCCGCAGGGCAACCCGCCGCAGUUCCCCUACCCGGCCUCCAGCUACGGUACCGGCCUGCCCUCUCCUCCUCCACCUCCUCCUCCUCAUCCCGGCUCCUCCAGCCCCUUCUCCUCCCCUCACUCCCCCAGCCAUUAUCUGGCUAACCAGGGCAUGAUGGGAAAUGUAGGGGGGCAGUACAGCGGGGUAAUGAGUCCGCCAUCGCAGCACAGUGCCUUCCAGUUCAGCAGUUCAGGAAUGAUCCAGCAACAGCAACACCAGGACCCAGUGGCAGGCUUUCCAUGUGGGGCUGCGACCCCGCAGAGCCCCCUGCUGUCCCCCAGGAUGGGGCAGGGUCAAAGCCCCAUGCUGCAGCAGAACCAGGGCCAAACCCAGCCCCAGGGUCCGACCCAGGGAGGAGCACCGGCCUACCAGGCAAGCACCGACCUCAAUGGAUGGCCCCAACCUGCCAACAUCUCCACCAGCAACAGUGUGUACCCCCAACAGUCCCAGUCACAGUACUCCACACAGCCCAGCGGAGGAAUGUACAACAGCAACAACAACGUGAACCUGAGAGUCAUGGCCAGCAACAUGAACCAGAUGUCAGGACAGAUGAGCUCCAUGACCUCCAUGAAUACAGAACAGGUGAGUGACAGCAGCCUGAUCCUGGGGCAGCUGGCGGGAAUUGACAUGUUGACACAAGAUGGUGAAGCCAGUUCUUCUGCACAUGGAGACACUUGAGGACAAUCCUAUAAGAGUAUAGGAAAUAGAAUGGGAAACAACAGUGAAUAAAUUUCUGCUGACUGUGGUUGAGACAAGGUAACACAGGAGCCCAUGCAAAAACACUGACGCCUACUCAGCUCAGCUCAUGGAGAAGCAUCAAGGAGUUGAGGACACAUGAUGGAAACACUGCUCCCUCUGUCACACCAGCCAACUCAGAGGCACUGUACAGAGAGGACAACCAAGACAUGUAAAACCUUCUGAACUGCAUUCACUUCAGUGUGGCUUGCUUCACAUUGAUUUAACACUUUAUGCAAAAAAAGUCAGAAUUCAUAGGGAAACUGCCAUCUGAACCAUCCUGACAACAAAUGCACAAUAGGAGAAUACAAUAAUCACAAAAAGAAUAUUGUGUCACUGCUGUUUCAGGGUUUUGUGGGAAACCUUGUAUUUUACUUUCAUCCAUCUAAUUAAACAAUACACGUUAUAUAUAUCUGUAUACCUAAAACCUGGUAUUCAAACAAUCAAAUUAAGGCUGCGCCAAAAACACAAUUACCAGUACCUAUACUGUAACAGUGCGCCUGAUAAAUUCAACACAAUCUACAUUUCCACUGAAUAAUUUUCAUUGGCACAACAUAAUCAGGCUCUAUACUCCCCACUCUGUUGUUCUGAGUUUCCCUUUUUGACAGAAAUGCUGUUUUCACUCACUGAUUGAAGUUCAAUCCACUCUACUUUGCGGUGCUUUCUUGAUGUGAAGCUGCUGUUAAUGAAACUCAACACUUCCAGAAGAUGUUUUACGAUAAAGAUCUUUCAAGAAAGGGAAGGAUUUUGCCCCCUGAGCUGUUCGGAAGGCUCAGUCACAGGAAGUGUUGAGUUUUCAUUAAAAGGACACAGCGGCAAUAGCAAACUAAUUUGGCAAAUGGGAGCAGAACAGAAAACAGGGACGCGUCUUUAGGUAAAUAAAGGCCCUGUCCACUAUUUGAGAAUUUACGGUAAAGUAUACAAAUAUUGUACACUACUACACACAUCCUCAGACAUGUACACUGUAAACACCAGAUCUUUGUCAAAUAGUCAGGCUAAUCACCAUUUUAAUGUUGAACCACAUAGAAUCAAAUACAGUGAAUAAAAGAGAGUUAAAAGGUGUUCUGUGUAGCAUUUUAACAUUUAAAAAUAAGAACCACAUUUACUUCUUACAACCAGGUUUUCCCUUAAAUUAAAACCCCCUUAAGUAGCUUUCAAAUGGAGCUAGAAAAUUAAUUUUCCUAAAAUUCAGCUUCAUGUAUCUGGUACAGCAUCUUUGAGAACUUCGGGAUCUCCUCUAGAAUAUAAAUAUAAUUUAUGUGGGUUUAAACAGGGCUUGCCUUUGCAACAUCAGUUUGUAAUCAUGGACACACAAGUGGUUCCAGCAAGGUUAAAGUUAGUUAUGUGCUCUGGUCAGAUGAAUGUAUUCCUAAAGUUUUCCCACUGAAAACACACAACUGUAAUCCUCUCAAGUCUCUGAAGCAGUGGAUUUGUGAUGAGGCACAUUUUUUUUGUGAGUGUGAAACUCAAACAAAGGAUGUCACAGUUUGACACUGGAGAACUGAAUGGUUGACAAACAUAAAUGAAACCUCUGGAUUUUAUCUUUUAUGGUUCUAUUUUAGAGCCUGACUGAAAACGUCAAAUGAGAAGGUUUAUGAGAAAUAUUUUUCAAGUAUUUAUAGUUUUGAAGAAGUUUUAGAGAUUCUUUGUAUGACACAAAAAAUCAAGGAUAUCUUUCUGUAAGAGAAUCUCAAAAUCGUACAUUUUGAUGUCGAUUUUAAAAUUAAUAUAUUUCAACUGCUGUAGUUACAGGGGAGCUGUAUCCCUAUGUAAUGACUUUUUGAAUGAAGGUGAAUGUGUAUAGAUAAUGUACAUACUUAGAUUUAUAAUAGGGUUUUUUUCCUAUGUGGUAUUGCAAAGCAGCAGUUUGGAGAUUUAGUCCAACAAACACUUAUCAGAGAGCAGAAAUAUUGGUUAAAUUAAACCUCAGUGGGUGGAGCUAAAGAGCCACAAGACAACAAGAGUGCAAGUCAAUUAAUUGGCUUACUCGAAUGGCAAAGAAGGCACUCUGGUCAAAAUGUAAACAGAAUGUUUAAUUACUAUGUACUUAUUUUUCCCAUAAAUGGCUUUCCUUGCUAGAAAUCAGCUAGCUAUUGCAAUUUUCCAAUAGUUAUUUUGAAUUUGAAAGUUCAGCUAAGCUAACUAGCUAAUCUAGUAUCAGUAGCUUGAAGCUUUUUUGGAAAUAUCUUGACACCUAUUGGAUAGAUUGCCAUGAAAUUUGGUACAGAUAUUCAUAAUUCCCCUACUUGAAAUGUAAUACCUUUGAUUCCCCUAACUUUUCAUCUAGCACCAUCAUCAGGUCAAGAUUUUAAUUUGUCCAAUACUUUGAUUUAUGACCAAAAGCUGCAAAACUACUGACAUUCCCAUCAGCCUCAGCUGUACUGUUUACUGCUCAUUAGCAAAUGUUAGCAUGCUAACAGGUUAAACUAGAUGGUGAACAUGGUAAACAUUAUACCUGCUAAACAUCAGCGUGUUACUGACUUUCAGUCCGCCCACUGAGAUUUAGCCAAUGAAAUUAUCUCUGCCUCCAAAGCAGCUUUGCCUCUAAAAAAAUGUGUGUAUAACUAAUAAAACUCCAUGCUACUGCGAUUCAUUUUAAAAUUACAUUUACUGGCCUGCGGGGGUUGCUCUUGCAUUUCAGGCAUUUAGCUGAAGCUCUCUGUCAUGCUGACAAUUCAAAAGUGUGUCAUUUGUUGCGUUGGGUCAUUCUGUGGGUGAAGCUUUGAUUGAUAGUCUCUACCUACUCUAUGUGAUGAAUACAAAUUCAAGUUUUGCGCCAAGGAUAAAGUCUGACCUGGUCCCUAUAAACAGAUUAAUAAUGCUAAAUUAGAGAGCAUGUGACCCAGAACCUUUACAAUCCAAUGUUAUAUGGACUUUUACAGACUGAACCUCUAGCGUUUUGGGAAUAGCUUCAUCAAAUCAAUUUGAAAGGUGCUCUCUUUAUUCAUUAGGUGCUGUCUCAUAUGCUGUGAGCUUGUAAGUGUGAAAAAACUGACUGUAACUGGCAACGUGGAUUUCUUGAAUCCCUCUUUCUCUACUUCAGAAGGUCCAGAAAUCUGUUAAGCACAUACUGUAACAAUGACGUAAGAUUACUUUUCUGCCCAAAAGAAGAAUGUGAAAAUGCAAACUGACUGCAAAAUGAAACACUGCAAAGAAUUGUAAACGUUUUUUUAGAACAUUUUGCGUUGAUCCCAUUUUUCCUUCAUGUCCUUUCAGCUUUCAGUACAGUGAAUUAUACUCGUGUACUAUCAUCAGGGGAGAAAAUGUAAGCCGUGGAAAUCUCCUGAAUGUCAAACUCUCUGCAAAGGUUUAAUGCAAUCAAGAGCGAAUGUAAAUGCUCAUGUACAGCAACUCCUAAUGUUUUAGAAGAAGGUGAAUUAUUUUCUCUUGAUUUUGACUGAUACAAUAUACAUAUAUAUUGAAGACUUUACCUAAUUCAUAGAUGUAUAUUUUAUCAAUUGCAAAAUACUGUAAUUCAUGUAAGUACCUUAAUGCUAAAGACAAAGCAUAAUGCCUUAGAUCUGUGACUCUGUCUGGUAUAUAACUGUAAAGUUUACAGGUGUAUUAUAUGUGUCACAUACUGCUGAGCGUGUGUUGUACCACUUCAUACUGUAGGUGUAAUAAUUAGACGACUAGGAUUUUUAUAUUUCCUCCCAAGAAGUGACAUUGAACAACCUGUGUAUCAACUCAUGGAAAUUACAAUAAGACUGUGUUAGCAUUUGUAAUCAAAGUGCAUAAAUUGAAAAUUAUUUAAUUUGUAGUUACACUGUAUUGUUGCACUGUUAGUGCACAGUGCACCAGGGAGAUUCUCCCUCACUAACGCAGUGUGUGUUUUGUUUGUUUGUUUUUUAAAGGGGCAUUAAUCUUUGACCUUUGCUGACUUCUGUUAGUGUCCAUUAGGGACUGCAGCAACAUCAGUGUAUCUCUAGAUGGCAUUUGAACAUUUUGAGUUAUGGCGGCCUGUAAAUGACAUUAAUAACAUAGUCAGAAAUGCAAGUUGUGAUCUAGCCCUAACGCAGCACCGUACUACUACUAAACUUAAGCGCGCAUUUCUGACCCUAAAUACUUGUAAACUUCAAUGUUGGACAAAAUUUGAAAAUGCAAAAUCAGUCCGCCGAAGUACAGCUUCUCUUUGACAGCUGAGGAGAUUUCACAUCGAAAGCAGUUGUGUCUACAGCUGCACAUCAUUUUGAAUUUUUCGGUUUCAGUAACAAUACCAAAAGAUUUUUUUCAAUAAUGUUGUUCUCCAAAACACUUUUUUCAUUUAACAAAAGAAACUAAAAGUUCUCAAAAGUUAGAUGUUGUAACCAUAGAAAGACUUAUAAGACUAAAGACUAAAUAAAAAGGUCUAAAAUAGUCCAAACUUUAAACAAAAACAUGUCUUACACUGAUUUAAUUCACAUGAAAAAAAGAAAUUAUUAUAUUAAAUAGAAGGAAUAAAAACUAAGAUAACAUAUAUUUUCUUCUUUGUUCACCAACUGGAGUGGCGUGACUGAGCUGUUUAUGUUAUAUUUCACUUAGUCAAUAUUGUUCACAUUUUAUUUUUGACAAUUUUCCUCUCAAUUUCCUAUUUAAAGCCACUACGUGUAGAUUUUUUAAAAUGAUAAGAGCAUCUUAAAAUUAUUUCCAUCGCAUAAAGUCUUGUUUGAAGACAAAUGCAACAAUCCUUGCAACAAUGGUGCAGUAAAUGCGUUGCUUUUAGUCCAUUUAUCUGUGUCUCUGGGUUGGGGUGUCUUUUGUGAUUCUACCACUGGAUGGCGCCAAAGUCAGAAAUGUUCUAAUCCUACACAGUGGCUUUAAGACCAUGCUGGUGAUACUGAUCUGCAUAAAACAACAAUGCAAUUAAAAAUGAUUUUCCAAUAUUGUUGCAUCAUUACUGCGUCAGGGCCAGCAGUUAUCAGGAUUUUUAAAGCCGAGCUGCAACAGAAACUUCCAGCGCUGAGCAAAUAUGUCACAAUGCUUUUUGUAGCCUGACAGGGAAACUUUUAGCCUUUGUAGCCGAAAUGUCUCAUUCUACAACAGUGGGCAGGGAGUUAUUGUUUAAAACAACUAGUGCAGGUCAUAUUUAGAUUUAAAGCGACAGAAAUCUCAGAAACUCAUAUUAAAUAUCUCAGCGGUGACAGUCCAGUACAUACAGUUUAUUCAGAGUGUGAGUGUUUUAUUAUGCAAAAGUCCAGAUGUUCACACCACUUUAUGCAAGCUGUCGACUCUAAUGUUGCUUUUGCCAAUGCUGCUCGUUAAUUUAUGAUUCAUGCCACUGUAAAUAAAUAAUUUUUAUUGA